GUUUCUCCUUCUGUUUACCUUCCCAUACUUGACUCUCUCUAUAGCCCUUGCCUCAGUGUACCUGCUUUCCUCUGGUGCAUGAUUCAGUCUUCCGUCUUUGCUACCUCCACCUUGCCAGUCAUUUCCCCUGCCUUAUUUGUUUGUUUGUUUGUUUAUUUAUUUAUUUUUGAGAUAGGAUUUGACUGAGUUGCCCAAGCUGGCUGGAACUUUGGAUCCUCCUGCAUCAGUCUCCCAGAGUGCUGGGAUUCCAGACAUCCACCACCGCACCCAGUGCCACCGCAGCUUAGUCACUUUCUCCUCACUGACACUCACAGGUAUUAAAGCAGGACGGUUUUCUCCUGCCUCCAUUGCAGAGGUCUCAGUCCAUGCAAUCCUUGGCUGGUUCCAAGGGAAAAACAGUAUGCUUGAAGGACCUGGUGGAGGAAAGCUGCUCACAUCAUGGUGUUUGGGAAGCAGAGAGUGAAGGGAGGAGCUGGAGAGGGAGAUGCACUCUUCCGGGUCACAGCUCCAGUGAUCACCUCUAACAAGGCCCCAGCUCCUCACAGCAAGUCAGCUAUGAACUCAUCAGUGGACUCCUGAGAGCAGAGCUCCUGUGACCAGUCAUCUCCUCAAUCCCUGAGGCCCUGGAGGAACACGCCAGACCUAAACCAUAAUGCCACACUUUCAGUAUCAAUGAUGGCAGCAGCAUUUCCUGACUUCUGUACACACUGUUCAUCCUUUGCAGUGUCAUGGUCACACACCUGUUGUCUGUAUGUGUGGCUCCACGUUGGUCCAUGUUUUCUUCACCAAUACCUCACUGUCUGGACCACUAUGGCUUUGGAAUAUAUCGUGUGCCCUGGGAGGUGGUUUCCCAUCUUGUUCUCAAGAUUGAUCUGUCCUUGUCCCUGUUACCUCCAAAGUCAAUUAUAGAAGUAAUUUAAGCUCCAUGAAAACUUCAGUGUAUACAUCAUUAAAAUGUACUUGAAAUUUUAUAUGAAGUGGAGAUAACUAGUAACCUUAUGACUUUUUAGUUAUUUGUAAUGAAUGUAUCAUAACUCUCCUUUCAUUUUGGUUUUUAAUAACUAUUAGUGAUGUUUUAUACAUUUAUUCCUAAUGAUAAUGCAUGGUUUUGUAUUUAAACUAAUGUAUCUCAUCAUCUGUUUCCU
rnacentral:lncRNA from 1 species